rnacentral:rRNA from 1 species
AGUGAACGCUGGCGGCAGGCCUAACACAUGCAAGUCGAGCGGCAGCGCGGGGGCAACCCUGGCGGCGAGCGGCGGACGGGUGAGGAAUGCAUCGGAAUCUACCUCGUUGUGGGGGAUAACGUAGGGAAACUUACGCUAAUACCGCAUACGACCUACGGGUGAAAGUGGGGGACCUUCGGGCCUCACGCGAUGAGAUGAGCCGAUGCCGGAUUAGCUAGUUGGCGGGGUAAAGGCCCACCAAGGCUGAGAUGGGUAGCUGGUCUGAGAGGAUGAUCAGCCACACUGGGACUGAGACACGGCCCAGACUCCUACGGGAGGCAGCAGUGGGGAAUAUUGCGCAAUGGGGGAAACCCUGACGCAGCAACGCCGCGUGGGUGAGAAGGCCUCGGUUGUAAG